rnacentral:rRNA from 1 species
GGGAGGCAGCAGUAGGGAAUCUUCGGCAAUGGGCGAAAGCCUGACCGAGCAACGCCGCGUGAGUGAGGAAGGCCUUCGGGUUGUAAAACUCUGUUGUUUGGGAAGAAGGGAAAGGGUAGGACCCUUUGGUGACGGUACCAAACGAGAAAGCCCCGGCUAACUACGUGCCAGCAGCCGCGGUAAUACGUAGGGGGCGAGCGUUGUCCGGAAUGAUUGGGCGUAAAGCGCGCGCAGGCGGUCCUUUAAGUCUGAUGUAAAAGCCCGCGGCUUAACCGCGGAAGGUCAUUGGAAACUGGGGGACUUGAGGGUAGGAGAGGGAAGUGGAAUUCCUGGUGUAGCGGUGAAAUGCGUAGAGAUCAGGAGGAAUACCGAUGGCGAAAGCAACUUCCUGGCCUAGAACUGACGCUGAGGCGCGAAAGCGUGGGGAGCAAACAGGAUUAGAUACCCUGGUAGUCCACGCUGUAAACGAUGAGUGCUAGGUGUGAGAGGUUUCAACCCCUUUCGUGCCGCAGAUAACACA